GUGUCCAUCAAUUUGAAUGGUAAUAAAUUGCAAGGAACAUUACCUAAAUCCCUGAUCAAUUGCGGAAGUCUACGAAGCCUCGACGUUGGAAAUAAUAGAAUACAAGAUGAAUUUCCCUUCUGGAUGGAAGUCCUUCCACAGCUUGAAGUGUUGGUCUUGAGGUCUAACAAGUUUUACGGUAACAUGUCACUUCGGGCUAAUUGCCGCUAAAUCCAUGUACUUUUUCAAUUUUUGAUUUUUUCUCAUGGCAAAAAAAAAUCUACUUUAAAAUCCAUGAAUUGCAAAAUUGAUUGGAAAUUUCCCCCGCAUCCGAUUUCCGGCCAUCAGCGAAAUGAGUCAGAUCCUAUGUGGCGAAAUUCAUUCCGGGUGUUAAGUUUAAUGAAUGACAUGGACGCCACAUAAGAUUUUAAAAACUGAAAAAAAUUAUAGGAAAUCUUAAGAUUCUCAAAUACUUGAAUUUAUCCCAGAAUAACCUCAUUGGAAAUAUACCUUCAUCUCUUGCAAAUAUGAGUGAACUAGAAUCUUUGGACUUGUCAGUGAACAAGUUGGAUGGAGAAAUUCCAAGUGAAUUGACAGGGUUGACAUUUCUUGCGAAAUUAAACCUUUCAACGAAUAAUCUUGUGGGGCAAAUACCACAAGCCCAAAAGAAUUGUUAAACUGGGGCCUUCUGGCUCCGCCAUUGGUUACAACAAUACAACAGACUUCGUUGUCAACUUCGUUUUUGGCUUUAUAAGAUACUAGCUAGUAACCUGUUGAAAUUUGAUGGAGUAUUAUUUUUUUUGUAAUGAAUUUAUCUUUACAUAACUUUUGAAAUUAAUUUAAUUUAAUGUAAUAGAGUUCAAAUUAUAUUAAUCUCAACCACCUAUAUAAAUCAAAUCUUAAUAUUUUGUUGGGAGAAUAGAAAUGUUAUUUUAUACUAUAAGUUUUUAUUUGAUUAAGUUUUGUAAAAGGUCGAUGUGGAAUUGAAAAUUUUAGAAAAAUGAGAAGAAAAAAGUGUGUAAAUUAGAUGGAUGAUAUGACAGAGGGAUUGGUUGUGCCACAUUGGUUGUUAAUUGUAUAUAGACAACUUAUGUGUGUAUUUUAGUUGUUCAAUAUUCUUGAAUUUUUUGGCUUUAAUGAAAUUUAAUAUACACAAUUAGGUUAGGUUGUUUUUUUUUUUUUGUACAGGAAUUGAAGAGAUCAAUGUCAACUGAAUCGAAUGAAUGAUGAAGAGCUAAUGUUGGGCUACAAAGCCUACAAUGUUGAUUAGUCUUACUUCCUUGUUCGUUUGGGAUUCUAGUGACAUUAUAGAGAUAAGCUUUUACUUUUUAUGCAUAAGAGGAAUAGUUUCUGCAUCUGACAUGGUUAUUCGUUUGGGAUUCUAGUGACAUUAUUCUGGUUUGUAUCUUCAAUUUAGUAGAUUGUUAGUUAUGCUUUCUUUGUUCAAUUUAAUUAUGUUUUAUUUCGAUAGCAUGAGUAGCAAAUUUAUUAAUUCAGUGAGUAUAAUGAAACACUAGUCUAAAAUCUGUGACCUAAUUGUUUUAUUGAUUGAUACAAUUGGAUGAAUUAUUUACAUCUCAAUCAGAAGAAGCUUUUAGUUUAAGCAGGGAUAUUCGUGCUUAUAAUAGAAUAUUGUCAUUUACUUCGUUCAGUGUAAAAUUGGAUAAAGAACUCGCAUCUGUAAGACGAAGAGUUUAUUCUUUACAAGCACAAGGAAUGGUUUAUCAUGAUCUUCCUGAAUUGAUCCACAAUAUACAUGUAUUUUCAAUAAUACUUUUACGACACACAAAGUGAGGUUGAGGACCGAAUUAACAUAAGAUGCACGUAGAAAUUUUAGAGUUCAACAUGUAUGAAAAAUUCUUACAAAUUAAUUUAUGUAAGAAUUUACUGGUGUUUUUGAUAAAAUUAUUUGAAUUUGAAUAAAUUUCCUCGUUACCAAGAGCUUAUUAUUAUUAUUAUUAUUAUUAUUAUUAUUAUUAUUAUUAUUAUUCAAAAUAACUCGAAUUCAAAUUGCAACAAUUGCUCUAUUUUAAGGGGGCAGUUGCGUAGAGCUUGGUUUUAGAUUGCAAAGUGUGAAUUACCCUUUAUUAUAUCUUAUUCAAAGACACAAAAAGGGGGAUUUAAAGUCUCCCAAAUCUAUUAUAAAAAUAGAGAAUAUAUUCUACUUUUGCAUGUUAUUCUACCACUUCAAAUAAACAAACAGGUUUUGUUGUUUAUUCAACUGACGUAGCCCUCUGAUCACGGCCAAAACUUAUAAUGCUAUUUUAAUAUGAAUAUUAGGGUCAUUUUUUAAGAUUUGGGUUAGACUCAAUCUCCCAAAUCGAACAGAAAGUAGCUUUCCAUAUAAAUAGUCUUAGUUGCUUUUGCCUCCAAAAAUCACUCUUUAUAGUUCCACAAUUAUUUUCUUCGUCUUUCCAAUGGGAAAAAUAUUAUUUUAGCUUUGAAUAAAAGGAAACUCUGCAUUUCCUACUUUCAUCANAACAGGCUCGAGCUCGAUUCGUUUAAAUAUUCAGGUGUCUGAACGUGAUUCGAACUUUUAUCUUGUUAAUCGAGUUUAGCUCGUUACUCACUUACCGAGCUCAAGCUCAGUUCGAAUUCAGCUCAUGUGAUACUCAAUAAUAUCGAAUUCGAGCUUAAGCUCGAGCUCGAACUCGAUGUGUUUAAAGUUUGUGUACUAACUCAAUUGAAGGUUCGUGAAUAAACUCGCAAAUAUAUUCGUGAUUAAUCGCAUUUGAAUAUGUUCGCAAGCUAAACGAGCCGAGUGCUGCCAAGUUUGAGCUCGGUUCAAAAAAAUUAUCGAGCUCAAAAUCAAGCUCAAACUUGUUUACUAUCAAACCGAUCAAGUUUGGGAUCAUAUUCAGCAAUGGCUCAACAUCAAAACGGCAAAGCCACAAGGUCUCUUUCAACAUUUUUUGUCUUUUACUUAUGGUGGCAAAGGUAAGAAAAUCAGAAAAUUUUUGAAAGCUUUAUUGGUUGGAACAAUUUGGCUGCUGUGGAGUUAUAGAAAUGAAAGUAGGUUUGAAGGAAAGGAGUGGGAUCCACAAAAACUUGUGUUGGAGGUUAAAGGUAGACUUUGGAGCUGGAACAAGACUUUCCAAAUGGUGGAAGUGAAUGUUCCGUUUUCUUUGUGGUGCUCCCAAGAGUACACACUCCCCUUUUUGUAACUGUUUUGGUACUACUGAUACCGAGUUUUUCAAUAUAUUGCACUUUUAUUGAUAAAAAAAAAAAAGUUGAGUCUCGAAUAGAUCGCGGGUAGCUCUAUUUAUUUAUAAUCCUAACCGUUGGUGUUAAUGUUUGACGGUGAUACAUAUAUGCACGAAAGGACCAAGAAAAUAUUGGCCGGCGACUGACUUAUCUCACUCCCCACCUAAUUCGGCUUCCACGCGGCCUUCAAUCAACUCAAAUUACUACUUAGUAGUGCCACCCACCUUUCCCUUGACCUUCUCACGCAAAUCUAUACUAAUAGAAAAAGAGCCUAAGCAUUUUAUGGGACAACUUGUGGAUUGCCUAUUUUACCCCUAUUAUUUAUUUUGUAUUAUAUAUUUAUAAAAUCAAUCUAUUUGAUAUAUAUUUAUUUGUCACCCAAAUCUAUAAAUAAUAUUUUAUAUUAUAAAACCAAACAUAUACAUAAAAUCGUUGUCAAAUUAAUUAGAUAAAAAAUUUCUUCUCUACUUAGGUCCAAUAUUGAUGUUUCCCUCAUCUAAUCUAAUUAUAAUUUCUAAAUAAAUCCCUAAUAUAAUUGGUAUUUACAUCACAAUUCUUUUUUCCCUAAAAGAAGUUCAUCAAUUAAACCAACGAUCAAGGGGAUUCCAAUAUCUUAUCGCAUUAGAAUUCUAUUUAAUUUAUUACAUAUUUUAUUUUAAGGUUUUUUACAGAUUAUAUAUUUAUAAGAAUAUAUUAUUAUUAAUAUACACUAAAUCUAUGUGUAUAUAUCUAUAGCUAUUGAUAAGGCUUAUAAAUAAAUAUAUUCAAUCCAAUAAAAUUUAUUAAUGAAAGUAAUAAAUUAAUAAUUUUCUAAAAUAAUAGAUUAUUAAAUAAAAUAACAUUAAUUACACGUACAACGUACGUUCUUUCUGCUAGUUACUCAAAAUGACUCGAAUAUUCAAAUUGCAACAAUUGCUCUAUUUUCAGGGGGCAAUUGCGUAGAGCUUGGUUUUAGAUUGCGAAGUGUGAAUUACCCUUUAUUAUAUCUUAUUCAAAGAUCACAAAAAGGGGGAUUUAAAGUCUCCCAAAUCUAUUAUAAAAAUAGAGAAUAUCUUCUACUUUUGCAUGUUAUUCUACCACUUCAAAUAAACAAACAGGUUUUGUUGUUUAUUCAACUGACGUAGCCCUCUGAUCACGGCCAAAACUUAUAAUGCUAUUUUAAUAUGAAUAUUAGGGUCAUUUUUUAAGAUUUGAGUUAGACUCAAUAUCCCAAAUCGAACAGAAAGUAGCUUUCCAUAUAAAUAGUCUUAGUUGCUUUUGCCUCCAAAAAUCACUCUUUAUAGUUCCACAAUUAUUUUCUUCGUCUUUUCCUCAUUCACACUCCAAUUAAUUAUUUUCUCCGGCUUCGUCGCUCCAAUGGGAAAAUAUUAUUUUAGCUUUGAAUAAAAGGAAACUCUGCAUUUCCUACUUCAUCAUUAAUCCUUCCCAUUUGCCCAUCAUAUCCACACACACUCUAUAUAUACAUGUAUAUGGAUUUCAUAGUUCAAUAUUCUAAAAAAUUACUACUGUCAAAAUCAAGCCAAAAAAUGCCAAAAUCUCCCCAUUUUCUCAUCCUUGCACUACUCUUACCAAUCCAUUAUUUGAUGGAUUAUAGCUCAGCCAAAACCGAUAUCAACACCGAUCGUUCUUCACUUCUUGCCUUGAAAUCUCAAAUCACUUUAGAUCCUCAAAAUAUAUUGACCCAAAAUUGGAGCACUGAAGCCAGUGUUUGUAGUUGGAUAGGAGUUACUUGUGAUUCACACUACAAUAGGGUGACUAACUUGAAUAUAUCGCACAUGGGUCUUGUCGGAACCCUCCCACCAGAAAUCGGGAAUCUUUCUUUCCUCGUCUCUUUAAAUGCGAGUCAUAACUCUUUUCAUGGCCCCAUUCCCCCAUCUAUCUUCAACAUGUCAUUUCUAGAAGUUUUGGAACUAAAGAAUAAUAGUUUGUCUAGUAGUUUACCUCUUGAUAUGUGCAUACACAAUCUGCAUAGACUCAAGAGGCUUCGUAUAUCUUACAACGUGUUGUAUGGGGAAAUACCAUCGAGUUUGGGGCAGUGUUCACAGCUUGAGUAUCUUUCUUUGUACAACAACAAUUUCACUGGAUUUGUGCCGAGAGAAAUUGGGAACUUGACCAAGCUUCAAGAGUUGUACCUUGGUGAAAAUAAGUUGACUGGUAAGUUCAUUCCUAUAUUUAUGAGGUCAAAUCAUGCAUUUAAUGCCAUAUUAUUUAAUUCUUUAAUUUAUGUGCUUUAUGUUUGAGUGUCAAAUUUAAAAUUUAUCUCAGCUUAAUUGUAUGUAUAAACUCAAUUUGGACCACUAAUCAUUAUACAAUAACGCAUACAAAGUUUUCGAACCUUUAGAAAAUCUUUGAUGAUCUUUCAUUUAAACACAAACCAGUUUAGUGGUAAUAAAUUGCAAGGACCAUCAACAUUUACCAAUGAUUGGACUCUUUUUCAGUCAAUUUAAGUGAUACUAGUAAAUUGCAAGGAGCAUUACCUAAAUCCUUGAUCAAUUGUCAAAGUCAUAUAAUUGUGUCUUUCACAAAUUUAUAAAUGACUUUUCCAUAUAACAUUCAUUAGGACUAGUAAUCUAAAAUACUUUGAAUUAAAUAUACUAUAUUUAUAAAGAAUUCAAUAUAUUCAUUUUAAAUGUUAAGUAGGAUGUGUUAGCGUGUAUUUACAUGACAUUGUUUUAUAUUUAAAGAUUCAUAGGUUAGGGUGAUAAGUAAUAUUUUCCAUAUAAGUUUCAAUCUAGAAUUAAACUAACUUUGUGUGAUGAUUUGAAUAUUUGUAGGAGUUAUUCCACAAGAGAUACAUCAUCUUCAUAAUUUAAGAGUGUUGGACUUGAGUUUGAACAAGUUGUCAGGCACUUUGCCACCAACCAUUUUCAACAUGUCUUCCUUGGUAUGGAUUGACUUAUCAAGUAACACACUUAGCGGGGCAUUGCCUUCAAUAAUUGGGAACAAGAAAGCAGUACUAGAGUUUUUAUACCUUGAAAACAAUGCUUUAACCGGUAAGAUUUCUAACUCUUGUAGGGUUUUACACAUAUUCAAAUGUUUCUUAAUUUUCAUGUAUAUUUAGCGUUUACAGCCAUUGUGAGACCUUUAACUUCUUCUCAAAUCUAUAUUUGACUUUUCCAUAUAGCAUUUACAGCUAUGUCCUUCUCAAAUCUAUAUUGUUCUUUGUCUUCCAUUGAUUAGUGGAAUAAAUAUCAUUGUACUUAAAUAGCUCAAAAUUUCCCAUCCGAUCAAAUCAUGUAUUUUUACCUAUUAUUGUUAUGAUCGUUAUACUUAACAAUAUGGAACUUGACUUUGAUGACUUCAUUAUUCUCCAGGUACUAUUCCGAAAGAGAUUGGAAAUCUUCAUAAUUUAUGGUUCAUGUGGUUGGGUUCCAACGAACUUAGCGGAUCAAUCCCGAGAGAAGUGGGGAACAUGACAGCUCUUUCUGACUUACGGCUCGACAAUAAUAGUUUAAGUGGUAUUAGAACUCUUUUAGCGAGUUAAUUUCUUUUUUUGGGGAUUCCCACAAACUUAGUGGAGCUUUAAUUGUACCCACAAAUUUGGAAUAUUAGAACUCUUUGUCGCUCACACCUUUUUAACAUUUAUUUAACUUUUCCGCCAGGUACUAUUCCUAAAGAGAUUGGAAAUCUUCGUAAUUUACACUACUUAAGUUUGUCUUGACUAUUUAUGGCUCCACAAUAAUACUUUAAGUGGUAUGAUUUAUUAUUUAGCUAGCCACAAGUUUAGGUAAAAGAUAAUAUUGUUUGUUAAAUUAAAUAGAUGCAAAGUAAAAGAUAUUUGAUAGGUUUUGGAGAGCUUUUAUUCAGGUAAUUAAAAGAUAGUAAUAGAUUGUUUUAUUACUUCGCAAAUUCAUUUCUAAAGAAAAUUAUUUUCACCUUUAAGAGUCUCGUUUCUUUUCCAACAUUCGACACAAAAGUAUUUUUCCUUUCUUAUUUUCACUUCAAUGAUGGAUAAUAUUAGAAGGAUAAUAUUAUCCAUCAUUGAAGUGAAAAUAAGAAAGGAAAAAUACUUUUGUGUCAAAUGUUAGAAAAGAAAUGAGACAUUUGAAAGCAUAAAUUUUUGUUUCUUUUCAAUUGGAACCAUCUUCAGCACUCGUCUCUUUAUCCUAAAAGAUGGAAGCACUAAAUCUUUUAUUCCUUGGAAACAAUGACUUUGACUCUAGGACGCAAACAUUAAAAGGUUCAUAAAUUAGGGUGAUAAGUAAUAUUUUCCCUAUACGUCUCAAUCUAGAAUUAGACUAACUCUUUGUGAUGAUUUGGAUAUUUGUAGGAGUUAUUCCACAAGAGAUACAUCAUCUUCAUAAUUUAACAGUGUUGGACUUGAGUUCGAACAAGUUGUCAGGCACUUUGCCACCAACCAUUUUCAACAUGUCUUCCUUGACAUGGAUUGACUUAUCAAGUAACACACUUAGCGGGGCAUUGCCUUCAGAAAUUGGGAACAAGAAAGCAGUACUAGAGUUUUUAUACCUUCAAAACAAUGCUUUAACCGGUAAGAUUUCUAACUCUUGUAGAGUUUUACACAUAUUCAAAUGUUUCUUAAUUUUCAUGUAUAUUUAGCAUUUACAGCCAUUGUGAGACCUUUAACUUCUUCUCAAAUCUAUAUUUGACUUUUCCAUAUAGCAUUUACAGCUAUGUUCUUCUCAAAUCUAUAUUGUUCUUUGUCUUCCAUUGAUUAGUGGAAUAAAUAUCAUUAUACUUAAAUAGUAUACAGCUCAAUCUCCCAACCGAUCGAAUCACGUAUUUUACUUAUUAUUCUCAAUUAUGAUUGUUAUACUUAACAAUAUGGAACUUGACUUUGAUCACUUCAUUAUUCUCCAGGUACUAUUCCAUCCUCCAUCUGUAACUUGACAUCUCUUGGAUUUCUUGUUCUCUCAAAUAACACCUUGGAAGGAACAAUUCCACAAUGCUUUGGAAAUUUGAGCAAAUCUUUGCUCAUUUUUCAUUUAAAUGUGAAUCAGUUUAGUGGUCUCAUUCCAUCAUCAUUUAGCAAGGGAUGUGGCCUUGUGUCCAUCAAUUUGAAUGGUAAUAAAUUGCAAGGACCAUUACCUAAAUCCUUGAUCAAUUGCCAAAGACUACGAGACCUCGACGUCGGAAAUAAUAGAAUACAAGACGAAUUUCCCUUUUGGAUGGAAGUCCUUCCAGACCUUCAAGUGCUGGUCUUGAGGGCUAACAAGUUUUAUGGUAACAUGUCACUUCCUUCGCAAACCAAGAUUCCAUUUCAUAAUUUGCAAGUUUUAGAUAUAUCUCAGAAUAGAUUUGUGGGCUCUCUGCCUCAAGGAUAUUUCAAGAAUUUCAGAGCAAUGAUAGAGGUAAAUGAAACAAACUUGUCAACUAACGACACCUUCUUUAAAGAUUAUGUGGAGAUGAGGCUCAC
rnacentral:lncRNA from 1 species